UGGAGGAGGGAUGCCGUCACCCGAUCGAGAGAGGAAGAGGGCAGCGGCUACUGACAUCAGCCGAAACAAGACCGGAGAGGCGAGGCCGGUGGGUCAGAUCGCUAACCCGAGCGACUGCUUGCUCGACAGCUGGGACCAGGGUAAUUAUGAGAGCCGGAGGACUUCUAGGAAACUGUGUUCACGUGAAAGGAGGUACAGAUUAACAGCUACGAGCACUGGAGCCUGAUGACAAACCACGACAAGCGAUCCUCCGUCAUCUUCAAGUGGCUCCAGCAAUUCUCCUGUGCAACGAUCCCCUGAUACCUCCAUUACCCACCAUCACUGAGGUGUGUGCUCACUCCUGGAAACUCUGGUCACCGCAUCCGGCAAGAGUACAUCCUGAUUUCAAGCUCUCUCAUCCUCCAUCCACCUGCAACUCACCCUCUGUCUCCUCUUACUGGUUUCAAUAAAAUCCAGUAUUCCACUAACCCUCUGUCGCCAGUCCGUUUGUUACAACAAUGGCCCAGAAGACGAUAAUUGACACCCUCCAGAAAGAGUAAGUCACAGAAGGUCAUUAUUGAAAGGGAUGGCUGUUCACAGAGUGCUGUAUCAAAGCAUAUUAAAUGCAAAGUUGACUGGAAGAAAGAAAAUGGGUAGGAAAAGGUGCACAAGAAACAGGGAUGACCAUAAGCUUGAGAAUACUGUCAAGCAAUGCGAUUCAAACACUUGGGAGAGCUUCACAAGUAGUGGACUGACACUGGAGUCAGUGCAUCGAGAGUAUCGACUGUAAGGAAAACCGAUCAAUUUAGCUCAAAGGGAAUCAUUUAUGAUUUUAUAGGGAAUUUGGACAGGAUCACGGUUUUAUGGCUGAUCAACUGAAUCGGCCAGCGAUUCACUGAACAGGCCAAACAACAUCAACUUUGCAUUGAUAUUAAUAUCCAAAAUAUAGUGAAAGUACAGUAACAAGAUCGGCAGUUUGAGACAUUAACUUGUAAGCACAAAACACAAGAUACUUUUUUU